UACGUAGGGGGCGAGCGUUGUCCGAAGUUACUGGGCGUAAAGCGCGCGUAGGCGGUCAUUUAAGUCUGAGGUGAAAAGGUUCAGCGCUCAACGUGAAUAGUGCCUUGGAUACUGGGUGACUUGAGUUCGGGAGGGGGCAGUGGGAAUUCCAGGUGUAGCGGUGAAAUGCGUAGAAUAUCUGGAGGAACACCGAUGGCGAAGGCAGCUGCCUGGCCCCAGAACCUGGACCGUGAGGUGCGAAACG
rnacentral:rRNA from 1 species